GAUUUCCUUCCGGCACGUCGCCCGCUCCAGGGGAGGGGGCGGGGGUUUUCACUUCCGGGACGGUGUUCCGGCCCAUUCCUGCCCAUUUCCACCCCCGGAGCUCUCACUCCUCCGGUGCCGACGGUAGUGAAAGACCUUACUCCAGGGGCCUCCUCCUCACUGGGGCAUUGCCGGAAAGAGCAAACAAAAAGGCGCUGGUGUAGGCUCCAAAAUAAACACAUCUGAAUUCAGGAUGGCAUCGACAGAGGCUCUUAUUGGAUUAAAAGUUGUCAAACAAACAAAAACGCUUUGGAAAAAGGGUUGAAUGCCUGCCUACACCCUCAGGCCCCACCAUGGAGAAGGGUGGUAACAUACAACUGGAGAUCCCUGACUUCAGCAACUCUGUCCUGAGCCAUCUAAACCAGCUGCGCAUGCAGGGCCGUCUCUGUGAUAUCGUGGUCAACGUGCAAGGACAAGCUUUUCGGGCUCACAAAGUGGUACUGGCCGCCAGCUCUCCCUAUUUCCGGGACCACAUGUCCUUGAACGAGAUGAGUACUGUCUCCAUUUCGGUCAUCAAGAACCCCACAGUUUUUGAACAGCUCCUUUCUUUCUGUUACACGGGGCGGAUAUGCCUGCAGCUGGCAGAUAUCAUCAGCUACCUGACAGCUGCCAGUUUUCUGCAAAUGCAGCAUAUUAUAGACAAAUGCACACAGAUCCUAGAAGGCAUCCAUUUCAAAAUUAAUGUGGCUGAGGUCGAAGCAGAAUUAAGUCAAACGAGAACAAAGCAUCCAGAGAGACCUCCGGAGUCUCACAGGGUUACACCAACUCUAAACCGCUCCCUUAGCCCACGACAGAAUGCCCCAAAGGGAAGCCGGCGAGGUCAGGUUAGUGCUGUGCUGGACAUCAGAGAGCUCAGUCCUCCUGAGGAGUCCACCAGCCCUCAGAUCAUCGAACAGAGUUCUGAUGUAGAGAGCCGGGAGCCUAUUCUUCGGAUCAACCGAGCAGGACAGUGGUACGUAGAGACAGGAGUAGCAGACCGAGGGGCCCGGAGUGAUGAUGAAGUGAGGGUUCUUGGAGCAGUACACAUCAAAACGGAAAAUCUAGAGGAGUGGCUGGGGCCUGAGAAUCAGCCUUCCGGAGAAGACGGGAGCAGCGCCGAGGAAGUCACAGCCAUGGUGAUAGACACCACGGGCCAUGGUUCCGUAGCACAGGAAAAUUACACUUUAGGAUCUUCAGGAGUCAAGGUGACUCGGCCAACAAGCAGUGAGAUUGACAGAUUUAGCCCCUCCGGCAGUGUUGUCCCCUUGACGGAGAGACACAGAGCCCGAAGUGAGUCUCCUGGGAGAAUGGACGAGCCUAAGCAGCCCAGCUCCCAGGUAGAAGAAUCAGCCAUGAUGGGAGUAAGUGGCUAUGUGGAGUAUCUUCGAGAGCAAGAAGUAUCUGAGCGGUGGUUCCGGUACAACCCCCGUCUCACCUGCAUCUACUGUGCCAAAUCUUUCAACCAGAAGGGGAGCCUGGACCGGCACAUGCGCCUGCACAUGGGGAUCACACCGUUCGUCUGUCGCAUGUGUGGCAAGAAGUACACCCGCAAAGAUCAGCUGGAGUAUCACAUCCGCAAGCACACGGGCAACAAGCCCUUUCACUGCCAUGUUUGUGGAAAAAGUUUCCCCUUCCAGGCCAUCUUGAAUCAGCACUUUCGCAAAAACCACCCUGGCUGUAUCCCCCUGGAGGGGCCGCAUAGCAUCUCCCCUGAAACAACUGUCACAUCUCGAGGACAAGUCGAGGAAGAGUCACCUUCACAAGAAGAGACAGUUGCUCCUGGGGAAAUUGCCCAGGGCUCUGUGUCCACCACUGGGCCAGACUGAAACAUCGAGGGGGAGGGGGCAGACCCUCUUCCCCUUUGGGCCGUAAGCAGCCAGCAUCAGGGCCAUGGGCUGGUACUUCGAUUCACAAAAUGCCACAGCACCAGAUCAGAAGAUGCUCCCAAGAUGUUGCCAAACUAGAGGAUCAGCAACAUACACAGAAGCACUAGAGGCUUUCUACCCCCGCCCUCCUUCCCACCUCACACUUUGGAAAAUAUCAAGCAAAUCAACUUUCUAAUUCAGGGAUCAACAGCCUUGGUUUGUUAACUUUAUAAGAAAAAAAUUUUUUUAACAAAACAGUGAUAGAUGCUCAUUUAUCUACCAGUCACAUUUGAACAUUGUCCUUUGGUCCAUGUCAUCCUGGUGGCUGUCACUCACCCAUAUCUAAAAAACACAGCAGGAGCCUUGGUCAUCGGAACCAGCCAACCAUAUGAGGAAUUUCUGUUCUUCCUUUCUGCCAGAAUGUGCAGCUUCAAAUUUCAAGGAAAAAAAAAAAAGAAUCCUGGUGCUUCUUAUUGUUUUGAAAGCAUCACAAGUCUAGACCAUUUCAAGCCAAUCACAACAACCCAAGUGAGUAGAAAUUCCUUAAGGGUUUAGAUUUCUGCUGGUAGCUGCAUCUUAAAGCAGAUAUUUAUGUCAUGAGAAGGCGAUCUACUGAGUUUCCCAUAAGGUAACAGAAUCCUAACUCUAGUGGUUCUUUAAGAACCACUGCAAAAACAGAAUUACAACACAGGGAACAGAGCUUAAGAUGUGUUUCCUCUGAAAGCCACGAUGCUGAAACGGGGCGCUGAGUGUGACUGAAAUCACCUCUAGAAUGGCUGUCAGCCAGACAGCAGAGAUUUUAGAAUUUUUAUGGUAUUUGUAAUAUUUUUACAAAAAAUGAUUUUAAAUCAUGUAACUUGAAGUUUUAAAAAAUGAGCCUGUUUUCUUUUUGGAAAACUGGCCCAAUAAAAAUAACACUAAUAUAAUUCACUUGUAUAUGCAUGUGCAUUGAACACAGAGUGGU